CCUACGGGUGGCAGCAGUGGGGAAUAUUGCGCAAUGGGCGAAAGCCUGACGCAGCGACGCCGCGUGAGGGAUGAAGGUCUUCGGAUCGUAAACCUCUGUCAGCAGGGAAGAACGGUCACUGUGCUAAUCAGCAGUGAAUUGACGGUACCGGCAAAGGAAGCACCGGCUAACUCCGUGCCAGCAGCCGCGGUAAUACGGAGGGUGCGAGCGUUAAUCGGAAUUACUGGGCGUAAAGCGCUCGUAGGCGGUAUGUCAAGUCAAGGGUGAAAUCCCCGCGCUCACCGUGGGAACUGCCUUUGAACCUGGCAAACUUGAGUGUGUGAGAGGCUAGUGGAAUUCCAGUUGUAGGCGUGCACUCCGUAGAUAUCUGGCGGCACAUCAGUGGCGAAGGCGACUCUCUGGCACAUAUCUGACGCUGAGGUGCG
rnacentral:rRNA from 1 species